rnacentral:misc_RNA from 1 species
UACACAGAUUCAACACAUCUUAUUAAGAAAACAGGCUUUUCAUUGCCAUUGAAAACGAGGGGUUAGUAAGACUGUAACCUCCAUCAACAGCCAAAUUGAUCCCACUGAUAUACUUGGACUCGUCACUUGCAAGAUACAAGGCUGCCUGCGCAAUAUCAUCAGCUUCCAACACCACCCCUUUCAAGUUCGCUGCUGAUGAAACAAGUUCCUCAAUUUCCUUCUUCCCCAAAAUUCCAAAAGCACUUUUCACCAUCGGGGUUGCAACCCCAAAUGGUGAAAUACUAUUAACCCUAAUCCCAUACUGUCCUAACUCCACGCAUAAAUUCUUGGCAAGUCCCACCACAGCAUAUUUUGAUGCUAUGUAUGCAUAUGGACAAUCCGUGCAACAUACAGAAACUAUACUUGAUGUGAAAAGUAUGCACCCUUUCUUGGCUGGGAUCAUUACUCUAGCAGCAUGUUUUGCACCCAAGAACGCACCAAAAAUAUUCACAUCAAGCACCUUCUUGAAAUCUUCAUUCUCUGUAGCUAAGAUUUUUUCUUCCGGUUUGCCUGAAAUUCCAGCAUUGUUGAACAUUAUAUCGAGCUUUCCAUACCUGGAAACGGCAGUAUCCACAGCGUUUCGAACAUC